UCUCUACUGAGUAUACCCGUACAUUUACCUUCCAAGUAAAAAGACUAGAAAACCUAGAUUAGAGAA
rnacentral:tRNA from 1 species